rnacentral:misc_RNA from 1 species
GAUGAAGAACGCAGCGAAAUGCGAUAAGUAAUGUGAAUUGCAGAAUUCAGUGAAUCAUCGAAUCUUUGAACGCACAUUGCGCCCGCCAGUAUUCUGGCGGGCAUGCCUGUCUGAGCGUCAUUUCAACCCUCAUGCCCCUAGGGCGUGGUGUUGGGGAUCGGCCAAAGCCCGCGAGGGACGGCCGGCCCCUAGAUCUAGUGGCGGACCCGUCGUGGCCUCCUCUGCGAAGUAGUGAUAUUCCGCAUCGGAGAGCGAUGAGCCCCUGCCGUUAAACCCCCAACUUUCCAAGGUUGACCUCAGAUCAGGUAGGAAUACCCGCUGAACUUAAGCAUAUCAUAGCGGAGGA